rnacentral:rRNA from 1 species
UGGGAAUCUUCCGCAAUGGACGAAAGUCUGACGGAGCAACGCCGCGUGUAUGAUGAAGGUCUUCGGAUUGUAAAGUACUGUCAUUGGGGAAGAACGGUUUUCUUGAAAAGAUUGAGAAGACAUGACGGUACCCAAGGAGGAAGCCCCGGCUAACUACGUGCCACAGCCGCGGUAAUACGUAGGGGGCAAGCGUUGUCCGGAAAUUAUUGGGCGUAAAGGGCGCGUAGGCGGGCCUUUAAGUCCGGUGUGAAAGAUCAGGGCUCAACCCUGAGAGUGCAUCGGAAACUGGAGGCCUUGAGGACAGGAGAGGAAAGUGGAAUUCCACGUGUAGCGGUGAAAUGCGUAGAUAUGUGGAGGAACACCAGUGGCGAAAGGCGACUUUCUGGACUGUAACUGACGCUGAGGCGCGAAA